rnacentral:rRNA from 1 species
GAGGAAUAUUGGUCAAUGGGCGAGAGCCUGAACCAGCCAAGUAGCGUGCAGGAUGACGGCCCUAUGGGUUGUAAACUGCUUUUGUAUGGGGAUAAAGUCAAUCACGUGUGAUUGUUUGCAGGUACCAUACGAAUAAGGACCGGCUAAUUCCGUGCCAGCAGCCGCGGUAAUACGGAAGGUCCGGGCGUUAUCCGGAUUUAUUGGGUUUAAAGGGAGCGUAGGCUGGAGAUUAAGUGUGUUGUGAAAUGUAGACGCUCAACGUCUGACUUGCAGCGCAUACUGGUUUCCUUGAGUACGCACAACGUUGGCGGAAUUCGUCGUGUAGCGGUGAAAUGCUUAGAUAUGACGAAGAACUCCGAUCGCGAAGGCAGGUGUCCGGGCUGCAACUGACGCUGAGGCUCGAAAGUGUGGGUAUCAAACAGGAUUAGAUACCCUGGUAGUCCACACAGUAAACGAUGUAUACUCGCGGUUUGCGAUAGACAGUAAGCCGCCAAGCGAAAGCAUUAAGUAUACCACCUGGGGAGUACGCCGGCAACGGUG